rnacentral:lncRNA from 1 species
GGGUAAUAAAAAAGGAACGUACAACAUAUUUUGUAUAGCAACAUAGCUAAACAUCUCAGUGAGCACAGCUAUUUUUUCCAGAACCAGCAUGGAUUUCGCCAGGGCUUCUCCUGUGAGACACAACUGGUCGAAUUCCAUUUCGACCUUGUGUCUGAAAUUGAUAAAGGAUUGGUAGUGGAUUGCGUAUUCUUAGACUUCAGAAAAGCGUUCGACCAAGUCAGUCAUCGUUGCUUAUCCUACAAGCUAGCCCACCUUGGUCUUCCUGAAAAUGUGUCUAAAUGGCUGGAAAGCUACCUUUCUUCUCGUAGUCAGCUUACGAUUGUCAACGGUUCGAAAUCAUCAUCAGUUCCUGUCACGUCUGGCGUACCGCAAGGAUCGGUGUUAGGCCCCUUGAUGUUUUUAAUCUUCAUCAAUGAC